rnacentral:lncRNA from 1 species
UACCAUUCAGGACAUAGGCAUGAGCAAGGACUUCAUGUCUAAAACACCAAAAGCAAUGGCAACAAAAGCCAAAAUUGACAAAUGGGAUCUAAUUAAACUAAAGAGCUUCUGCACAGCAAAAGAAACUACCAUCAGAGUGAACAGGCAACCUACAGAAUGGGAGAAAAUUUUUGCAAUCUACUCAUCUGACAGAGGGCUAAUAUCCAGAAUCUACAAAGAACUCAAACAAAUUUACAAGAAAAAAAGCAAACAACCCCAUCAACAAGUGGGCAAAGGAUAUGAACAGAUACUUCUCGAAAGAAGACAUUUAUGCAGCCAAAAGACACAUGAAAAAAUGCCCAUCAUCACUGGGCAUCAGAGAAAAUCAAAUCAAAAUGACAAUGAGAUACCAUCUCACACCAGUUAGAAUGGUGAUCAUUAAAAAGUCAGGAAACAAAGUUGCUUUAGCACUUUUUUCUUUGUAAAGAGAGAAUAUUAUCAAGUGUCUAGAGCAUAUAAUAGCUUCAAAGCAUAGUUGAGAAAAGAUCACUAUGGAGCUGAAGGUAGAGAACUGGGUAGUGUGACCACUUGAUCCAGUCAGUGCUUAGGAUAAAAUGAACUGUCAUGAUCUAGAAAGCUGUUUUUGUUGUAAAUCCCAAGCCCCUCACUAUGCUCAAUAUUCUCUCCUUGAAGCAUUAAGUAAAACUAAUCAAGGAAAAUGGAAGGCUUGGCAUUUUAGCUGAUGAGAAUUCACUAGCUGGAUUACUGUGUGGUAGAGGGAGGUGAUUAGCACCUGUGAGAACAGAACGCAGUGUCAUACUGGUGGAGGGAAAGCAAUAGUAAUAUGUUCCCUUCCUUUCUCAUUUUAAGUGGAGUGGCCUGCUAUCAGCAAAUUUUGAAAAAACACACAAAACCACCUAUACCUCAACAGUAGCAAUGAAGUAGCACACACGUACACGUUUACACACACACACAUAUAUAUAUGAUAGAUAUGCA